AUAAACCUCCAUUAGCAGAGCUUAGGCCGGCAGCAGUCAGAAAUGUCUGCUGGAGAAGACACUGCAAAGUGUCAGUGAGGGCGUUUGAGAAUUAAUUUUACCCUAGAGUAGCUGCGCAGGUCUGUUUAGCACUCACCUCUACAGUUUUGAACAUUCGAUAACACCAGAAUCAGUCUGAUGCCUUGAACACUUUACAUGAAGGGUUUUUCAAAAUCUAGCCACAAACAGAUAUGACCAGAUUUCAAAAAAUUUUGAGAAACUAGGAGGAAUCUAUUUUGACAAAGCCAAGCCACACAUAGGAUAGAGGCAGACAUGCGUGCCCUGGAAAGAAGAAAGUAGAAGGAUCAACUAAAAGAGCUCUCCCACUAAAUGGCUGUGGGCUCCUCUAAGAAACUGAAACAUGGAAGAAGGAAGGACCAGCCAGCCAGAACAGCAGUGGGUAUCAAGGAAUGAUAUAAAAGCAAGCUCAAGACAGUCAAGAUUCAAGGAGCUAUAUACCUUGCUUCCUUUCCAGAGCUGAAAUUUGAGUCAAGAGUCCAUUUCUUCCAUCUGGCCAGAUGAUCUCCAGGAUACUCUCAUGUAUGUCAAUAAUAACUUUUCUUUUAUAA